UACGGAGGGGGCUAGCGUUGUUCGGAAUUACUGGGCGUAAAGCGCACGUAGGCGGAUCAGCCAGUCAGAGGUGAAAGCCCAGGGCUCAACCUUGGAAUUGCCUUUGAUACUGUUGAUCUGGAGUCCGGGAGAGGUGUGUGGAAUUCCGAGUGUAGAGGUGAAAUUCGUAGAUAUUCGGAGGAACACCAGAGGCGAAGGCGACACACUGGACCGGUACUGACGCUGAGGUGCGAAAGCGUGGGGAGCAAACA
rnacentral:rRNA from 1 species